AGCAGCCACGGUAAUUCCAGCUCCAAUAGCGUAUAUUAAAGUUGUUGCAGUUAAAAAGCUCGUAGUUGAAUUUCGGGAUCAAUUAGUCGGUCGUGCCUCUGGUACGUACUGGUUUUAUUGGUUCCUCCCUUCUGACGAAACAUGAUGUCAUUAAUUUGGUGUCGUGGAGAAUCAGGACUGUUACCUUGAAAAAAUUAGAGUGUUUAUAGCAGGCUAACGCUUGAAUACAUUAGCAUGGAAUAAUGAAAUAGGACGUUCGACCCUAUUUUGUUGGUUUCUAGGAUCGACGUAAUGAUUAAUAGGGAUAGUUGGGGGCAUUAGUAUUCAAUUGUCAGAGGUGAAAUUCUUGGAUUUAUUGAAGACUAACUACUGCGAAAGCAUUUGCCAAGGAUGUUUUCAUUAAUCAAGAACGAAAGUUAGGGGAUCGAAGACGAUCAGAUACCGUCGUAGUCUUAACCAUAACUAUGCCGACUAGGGAUCGGGAUGAUGUUAAUUUUUAAUGACUCAUUCGGCGCCUUAA
rnacentral:rRNA from 1 species